GACGAACGCUGGCGGCGGGCUUAACACAUGCAAGUCGAACGAGAUGCUCCCUUCGGGGAGUGGAAAGUGGCGAACGGGUGAGUAACGCGUAGGCAACUUACCCCCAGGCGGGGAACAACCACGGGAAACCGUGGCUAAUACCGCAUAAUGUCCAUCCCCUGCAUAGGGGUUGGAUUAAAGGCUUCGGCCACCUGGGGAUAGGCCUGCGUCGGAUUAGCUUGUUGGUGAGGUAACGGCUCACCAAGGCAACGAUCCGUAGCUGGUCUGAGAGGAUGAUCAGCCACACUGGCACUGAGACACGGGCCAGACUCCUACGGGAGGCAGCAGUGAGGAAUCUUGCGCAAUGGACGAAAGUCUGACGCAGCCACGCCGCGUGCAGGAAGACACCCCUCAGGGGCGUAAACUGCUUUUAUACGGGAAGAACACCCUACUCGGUAGGGUCUGACGGUACCGUACGAAUAAGGACCGGCUAACUCCGUGCCAGCAGCCGCGGUAAUACGGAGGGUCCAAGCGUUGUCCGGAAUCACUGGGUUGUAAGGGUGUGUAGGCCGGCCUACAAGUCAGAGGUGAAAGCCCCCGGCCUAACCGGGGAACUGCCUUUGAUACUGUAGNUCUUGARUCCUGGAGAGGUCACU
rnacentral:rRNA from 1 species